GUGCUUGCUAUAGUAGCACAUAUACUAAAACUGGAACGAUAAAAGAGAAGGUUAGCAUUGCCCCUGCACAAGGAUGACACACAAAUUUGUGAAGCAUUCCAUAUUAAA